UCCAGCAAGAAAAUAACGUGUACAACAAUACCAAGUAUCCGACCCAGCCCCGUAUUUCUUUUCUUUUUCUUCUUCAACGCGAAAGAACCCAAAAUCUUGAACCAAAAAAUCAGGCAGGCCCAAAUCGCAAAUUAGUCCAGCGAAUCGACCCGAAAGUACUCUGCGGUUCCUUUUUCUUCUUCCUCAACGUCCCUAUAUUCGUACUUCGGCAGUAGCAAAAGCAGUAUUACCUUGUCCCCGCCAGCGUGAGAUCGCGCCACGUCGAUGCUUUUAGGACUGAGGACUGAUCAGGAUCGCUUGCGUCCCUAUUUUCUUUUAGUCUUUUCCUAGAAAUUUGGCUGAUGGUACAAGAGACAGUUGUCUCCCCGUCCCUUGGGGGAGAAGUUUGAAUUUAAAUUGGGUUGGGGUUCCGAUUUUGCCCUCCAUCUUUCCCCCUCAAUUUAGACCUAAUUUCACCUUUAUAUGAACCUCCCUUCUCAUCCAUAUUGGAGGUUAGCUUUCAGUUGGAAAAUUCAGUGUUAGGAUAAGUAAAUGGAAAUUUUGAGUCUAAAUUUCUAGGGAAAAAAAGUGAUAGUAACGUUAAGAAAAUAUUAUCCAGGAAUUAUAUUUUCGCUCGAGGCUCAAAGUUGUGGCUGGAAGAUCGUGACUCUACUCGUUCUUGUCUCCUUCGCUGCUUCAGAAGAGGCUUCGAGUUCACGAAGAACUCCUUUCUUCCCUAGUAUUUGCUGAGAGCCAUUAAGGCUCGAAUCUUUUAUCGAGUUAGUCUAUUAAAUCGCAGAAUAAGUUCCGAAAAAGCGUACAGGUCCCGAAGUGAGGAAAUCGUAGUGGAGGAAGUCGAAGAGAGUGGGAUAUAAAGGCCUAAAUUUAUUUCUUGAAGUUCUGUAUUUUGUUAUUUUUGGGCUUAAGCCCUUGUGCUUUUAAUUAUUUAUUAUUGUUGUUUGAACUUUAGGACAUGUAACAUUGAAGUGGGUCAAAAAUCCAAAAUGAAAUGGGUCAAAAUACUGGUCCAGACGGACAAAAACUGGAUCUGGGUCCAAACCAA